GCAGGAAGCGAAAGAGUUGGUUUUGGUGGCGAAGAUAGCAAUGGCCUGUUUAAAUGUGAAUCCAUAAUGUUGGCCAAGCAUGGAACUGGUUUGUGUGUUGCUAAUAAGCAAAGAAAGGCAAUCCUCAAAUUCACUUCCACUGCAGAUCACAAUAAACCUACCAAUUGUUCGGUGGUCUUGAAUUUCCUACUCCGAUCCUUAGAAGGUAGGGUAGGUUGAAGUCUUAUUCAUGCCAGCCGCCAGGAUUCAUUCAACAGUUAGCCGUAGUUACAACCCAAUUUCUUUAAUUUGACGACGACUUUGCAAACCAUGCAUGCCAGUUGUGCAAAUUAUGACUGACACCAAUUAAGACUCUGCUGUCAUGCUCAUGCAUGCCGCCUUAGCUUACAAUAAUCAUGCAGAUACUAUACACUGCUGGAAUUUGAUCGACAUCAUGGUACAUGUAUAUAUUGUUCGAUGGAAGAAGCCCGCAUCCAUUUGAAUGUCAACAACUAUAACAUCAACAAAUAAUCUUGAUCGGUGUACGUCAUACACAUUAUUUAUCAUCACAUUCUAACAAGCAAUCAACUCAAUCAGUGACGAAGAAGUGGAGAAGCUAGCUGAUCUUUUGUUGGUAGAGUUUGCCUAUACUAUGGAGGUCGAUCACUGAAACAUGUGAUGUGUUUAGCUUCAGAGU